rnacentral:tRNA from 1 species
AUUUAUAUAGUUUAAAUUAAAACAUUUCAUUUUCAAUGAAAAAAGGGAUAUUCUCCUAUAAAUU